CUGUCUAGAAGGCUGUGGUGUAAGGCCAUCUUUGCUGGCUACAAGUGAGAUCUCCGGAACCAAAGACAGUACAGGGCUCUUCUUAAAAUUGAAGGCGAUUAUGCCCGAGAUGAAACAGAGUUCUACUUAAUCAAAACAUAAAGCAAAAAAACAAAAAAACACAAUACAGUGUCUCCUGGAGGCAAACCAAACAAACCCAGUGAUCUGGGGAAAAGUAACUCGGGCCACGGAAACAGUGGUGUGGCUCACGCCAGAUUCCCAAGCGACCUUCCACCGGACACAGAAUGAAUCCGUGUGACACUGUACCCAUCCCGGAUUUAA
rnacentral:lncRNA from 1 species